GGGGAUGUAGCUCAGUGAUAAAAGUACCCGCCUAGCAAGUGUGAGACCCUGAGUUCAAACCUCAGUACCACCA
rnacentral:tRNA from 1 species